rnacentral:miRNA from 1 species
UGGAUUCAGUUGUUGUAGUCGGC